CUGGUUUCUCUUCAGAUCGUAUAAAUCUUUCGCCUUUUACUAAAGAUUUCCGUGAAGAAUAAUUUUGGAAG
rnacentral:snRNA from 1 species